rnacentral:tRNA from 1 species
GGAUCCAUAGCUCAGCUGGCUAGAGCGCUUACUUGACGUGUAAGAGGUCGUAGGUUCGAGUCCUACUGGAUCCA